UACGGAGGGUGCAAGCGUUAUCCGGAUUCACUGGGUUUAAAGGGUGCGUAGGUGGGCAGGUAAGUCAGUGGUGAAAUCUCCGGGCUUAACCCGGAAACUGCCAUUGAUACUAUUUGUCUUGAAUACCGUGGAGGUCAGCGGAAUAUGUCAUGUAGCGGUGAAAUGCUUAGAUAUGACAUAGAACACCAAUUGCGAAGGCAGCUGGCUACACGAAUAUUGACACUGAUGCACGAAAGCGUGGGGAUCAAACAGG
rnacentral:rRNA from 1 species